rnacentral:rRNA from 1 species
CAUCCUCCAAGGCUAAAUACUCCUGACUGACCGAUAGUGAACCAGUACCGUGAGGGAAAGGCGAAAAGAACCCCGGCGAGGGGAGUGAAAAAGAACCUGAAACCGUGUACGUACAAGCAGUGGGAGCACCCUUUGGGUGUGACUGCGUACCUUUUGUAUAAUGGGUCAGCGACUUAUAUUCUGUAGCAAGGUUAACCGAAUAGGGGAGCCGGAGGGAAACCGAGUCUUAAUUGGGCGUUAAGUUGCAGGGUAUAGACCCGAAACCCGGUGAUCUAGCCAUGGGCAGGUUGAAGGUUGGGUAACACUAACUGGAGGACCGAACCGACUAAUGUUGAAAAAUUAGCGGAUGACCUGUGGCU